GACGAACGCUGGCGGCGUGCCUAAUACAUGCAAGUUGAGCGCUGAAGGUUGGUACUUGUACCAACUGGAUGAGCAGCGAACGGGUGAGUAACGCGUGGGGAAUCUGCCUUUGAGCGGGGGACAACAUUUGGAAACGAAUGCUAAUACCGCAUAAAAACUUUAAACACAAGUUUUAAGUUUGAAAGAUGCAAUUGCAUCACUCAAAGAUGAUCCCGCGUUGUAUUAGCUAGUUGGUGAGGUAAAGGCUCACCAAGGCGAUGAUACAUAGCCGACCUGGGAGGGUGAUCGGCCACAUUGGGACGGGGACACGGCCCAAACUCCUACGGGAGGCAGCAGGAGGGAAUCUUCGGCAAUGGACGAAAGUCUGACCGAGCAACGCCGCGGGAGGGAAGAAGGGUUUCGGAUCGGAAAACCCUGUUGGUAGAGAAGAACGUUGGUGAGAGUGGAAAGCUCAUCAAGUGACGGUAACUACACAGAAAGGGACGGCUAACUACGUG
rnacentral:rRNA from 1 species